rnacentral:rRNA from 1 species
CACGUAGGGUGCGAGCGUUGUCCGGAAUUACUGGGCGUAAAGGGCGCGUAGGCGGCACGGCAAGUCAGGAGUGAAAGGCCUGGGCUCAACCGAGGAACUGCUUUUGAGACUGCCGAGCUAGAGUGCGGAAGGGGCAACCGGAAUUCCCAGUGUAGCGGUGAAAUGCGUAGAUAUUGGGAAGAACACCUGAGGCGAAGGCGGGUUGCUGGGCCGACACUGACGCUGAGGCGCGAAAGCCAGGGGAGCAAACGGG